rnacentral:rRNA from 1 species
GUUUGAUCCUGGCUCAGGACGAACGCUGGCGGCGUGCCUAAUACAUGCAAGUCGAGCGGACAGAUGGGAGCUUGCUCCCUGAUGUUAGCGGCGGACGGGUGAGUAACACGUGGGUAACCUGCCUGUAAGACUGGGAUAACUCCGGGAAACCGGGGCUAAUACCGGAUGGUUGUUUGAACCGCAUGGUUCAAACAUAAAAGGUGGCUUCGGCUACCACUUACAGAUGGACCCGCGGCGCAUUAGCUAGUUGGUGAGGUAACGGCUCACCAAGGCGACGAUGCGUAGCCGACCUGAGAGGGUGAUCGGCCACACUGGGACUGAGACACGGCCCAGACUCCUACGGGAGGCAGCAGUAGGGAAUCUUCCGCAAUGGACGAAAGUCUGACGGAGCAACGCCGCGUGAGUGAUGAAGGUUUACGGAUCGUAAAGCUCUGUUGUUAGGGAAGAACAAGUGCCGUUCGAAUAGGGCGGUACCUUGACGGUACCUAACCAGAAAGCCACGGCUAACUACGUGCCAGCAGCCGCGGUAAUACGUAGGUGGCAAGCGUUGUCCGGAAUUAUUGGGCGUAAAGGGCUCGCAGGCGGUUUCUUAAGUCUGAUGUGAAAGCCCCCGGCUCAACCGGGGAGGGUCAUUGGAAACUGGGGAACUUGAGUGCAGAAGAGGAGAGUGGAAUUCCACGUGUAGCGGUGAAAUGCGUAGAGAUGUGGAGGAACACCAGUGGCGAAGGCGACUCUCUGGUCUGUAACUGACGCUGAGGAGCGAAAGCGUGGGGAGCGAACAGGAUUAGAUACCCUGGUAGUCCACGCCGUAAACGAUGAGUGCUAAGUGUUAGGGGGUUUCCGCCCCUUAGUGCUGCAGCUAACGCAUUAAGCACUCCGCCUGGGGAGUACGGUCGCAAGACUGAAACUCAAAGGAAUUGACGGGGGCCCGCACAAGCGGUGGAGCAUGUGGUUUAAUUCGAAGCAACGCGAAGAACCUUACCAGGUCUUGACAUCCUCUGACAAUCCUAGAGAUAGGACGUCCCCUUCGGGGGCAGAGUGACAGGUGGUGCAUGGUUGUCGUCAGCUCGUGUCGUGAGAUGUUGGGUUAAGUCCCGCAACGAGCGCAACCCUUGAUCUUAGUUGUCAGCAUUCAGUUGGGCACUCUAAGGUGACUGCCGGUGACAAACCGGAGGAAGGUGGGGAUGACGUCAAAUCAUCAUGCCCCUUAUGACCUGGGCUACACACGUGCUACAAUGGACAGAACAAAGGGCAGCGAAACCGCGAGGUUAAGCCAAUCCCACAAAUCUGUUCUCAGUUCGGAUCGCAGUCUGCAACUCGACUGCGUGAAGCUGGAAUCGCUAGUAAUCGCGGAUCAGCAUGCCGCGGUGAAUACGUU